rnacentral:rRNA from 1 species
GAGUUUGAUCAUGGCUCAGAUUGAACGCUGGCGGCAUGCCUUACACAUGCAAGUCGAACGGCAGCACGGGGGCAACCCUGGUGGCGAGCGGCGAACGGGUGAGUAAUACAUCGGAACGUGUCCUGUAGUGGGGGAUAGCCCGGCGAAAGCCGGAUUAAUACCGCAUACGAUCUGUGGAUGAAAGCGGGGGCUCCUUCGGGACCUCGCGCUACAGGGGCGGCCGAUGGCAGAUUAGCUAGUUGGUGGGGUAAAGGCCUACCAAGGCGACGAUCUGUAGCUGGUCUGAGAGGACGACCAGCCACACUGGGACUGAGACACGGCCCAGACUCCUACGGGAGGCAGCAGUGGGGAAUUUUGGACAAUGGGCGAAAGCCUGAUCCAGCAAUGCCGCGUGUGUGAAGAAGGCCUUCGGGUUGUAAAGCACUUUUGUCCGGAAAGAAAACCUCGUGGUUAAUACCCGUGGGGGAUGACGGUACCGGAAGAAUAAGCACCGGCUAACUACGUGCCAGCAGCCGCGGUAAUACGUAGGGUGCAAGCGUUAAUCGGAAUUACUGGGCGUAAAGCGUGCGCAGGCGGUCCGCUAAGACAGAUGUGAAAUCCCCGGGCUUAACCUGGGAACUGCAUUUGUGACUGGCGGGCUAGAGUAUGGCAGAGGGGGGUAGAAUUCCACGUGUAGCAGUGAAAUGCGUAGAGAUGUGGAGGAAUACCGAUGGCGAAGGGCAGCCCCUGGGCCAAUACUGACGCUCAUGCACGAAAGCGUGG